rnacentral:rRNA from 1 species
GGGGAGUUAAACAACCCUCGGUAAAACAAGAAUGCUAAUACCGGAUAACAACAGAUGAUGCCUAUCAACUGUUUAAAAGAAUGGUUCUGCUAUCACUCUUGGAUGGACCUGCGGUGCAUUAGCUAGUUGGUAGGGUAACGGCCUACCAAGGCGAUGAUGCAUAGCCGAGUUGAGAGACUUAUCGGCCACAUUGGGACUGAGACACGGCCCAAACUCCUACGGGAGGCAGCAGUG